rnacentral:tRNA from 4 species
GGGCGAUUAGCUCAGUGGGAGAGCGCUACCUUGACACGGUAGAGGCCACUGGUUCAAUCCCAGUAUCGCCCACGA